AUUGAACGCUGGCGGCAGGCCUAACACAUGCAAGUCGCACGAGUGGCGUACGGGUGAGUCAUGUCUGGGAAACUGCAUGAUAGAGGGGGAUAAAUACUUGAAACGGUAGCUAAUACCGCAUACCAUCGGAUGUGCCCAUAUGGGUGUAGCUAGUAGGUGGGGUAAAGGCUCACCUAGGCGACUAUCCCUAGCUGGUCUGAGAGGAUGACCAGCCACACUGGAACUGAGACACGGUCCAGACUCCGACGGGAGGCAGCAGUGGGGAAUAUGGCACAAUGGGCGCAAGCCUGAUGCAGCCAGGCGGCGUGUAUGAAGAAGGCCUUCGGGUUGUAAAGUACGUUCAGCGGGGAGGCGUUACCUGCAGAAGAAGCACCGGCUAACUCCGUGCCAGGAGCCGCGGUAAUAC
rnacentral:rRNA from 1 species